rnacentral:rRNA from 1 species
GAUGAACGCUGGCGGCGUGCCUAAUACAUGCAAGUCGAGCGAACGGACGAGAAGCUUGCUUCUCUGAUGUUAGCGGCGGACGGGUGAGUAACACGUGGAUAACCUACCUAUAAGACUGGGAUAACUUCGGGAAACCGGAGCUAAUACCGGAUAAUAUUUUGAACCGCAUGGUUCAAAAGUGAAAGACGGUCUUGCUGUCACUUAUAGAUGGAUCCGCGCUGCAUUAGCUAGUUGGUAAGGUAACGGCUUACCAAGGCAACGAUGCAUAGCCGACCUGAGAGGGGGAUCGGCCACACUGGAACGGAGACACGGUCCAGACUCCUACGGGAGGCAGCAGUAGGGAAUCUUCCGCAAUGGGCGAAAGCCUGACGGAGCAACGCCGCGUGAGUGAUGAAGGUCUUCGGAUCGUAAAACUCUGUUAUUAGGGAAGAACAUAUGUGUAAGUAACUGUGCACAUCUUGACGGUACCUAAUCAGAAAGCCACGGCUAACUACGUG